rfam:Candidatus Magasanikbacteria bacterium RIFCSPHIGHO2_02_FTLL_45_10 rifcsphigho2_02_scaffold_15790, whole genome shotgun sequence.
GCGCCUGUAGUUCAACGGUUAGAGCACGCGGCUUAUAUCCGCGCAACGAUGGUUCGACUCCAUCCAGGCGCA